UGAGGAAUAUUGGUCAAUGGGCGCGAGCCCGAACCAGCCAAGUAGCGUGAAGGAUGAAGGUCCUAUGGAUUGUAAACUUCUUUUAUAGCAGAAUAAAGUGACCCACGUGUGGGUUUUUGUAUGUAUGCUAUGAAUAAGGAUCGGCUAACUCCGUGCCAGCAGCCGCGGUAAUACGGAGGAUCCGAGCGUUAUCCGGAUUUAUUGGGUUUAAAGGGUGCGUAGGCGGAAAGAUAAGUCAGCCUGUGAAAGUUUGCGGCUCAACCGUAAAAUUGCAGUUGAUACUGUUUUUCUUGAGUGUACAUAAGGUAGGCGGAAUUCGUGGUGUAGCGGUGAAAUGCUUAGAUAUCACGAAGAACUCCGAUUGCGAAGGCAGCUUACCGGGGUACAACUGACGCUGAUGCACGAAAGUGUGGGUAUCAAACA
rnacentral:rRNA from 1 species